rnacentral:rRNA from 1 species
CGUGACGGGUGAGUAACACGUGGAUAACCUACCUAUAAGACUGGGAUAACUUCGGGAAACCGGAGCUAAUACCGGAUAAUAUAUUGAACCGCAUGGUUCAAUAGUGAAAGACGGUUUUGCUGUCACUUAUAGAUGGAUCCGCGCCGCAUUAGCUAGUUGGUAAGGUAACGGCUUACCAAGGCAACGAUGCGUAGCCGACCUGAGAGGGUGAUCGGCCACACUGGAACUGAGACACGGUCCAG